CAGACAGAAUGGCAGUUAGCAAGCACAUUGUGUUGCAGUUCGGAAAUCUCAUGGUGAGAGGUUGUCCUGUUUGUCAUUGUCCCCUCCACCUUGUAAGCAUUCAAUUGAUGAAUAUAUAUGCAUAGCUCCAACUCCACUCCUUGUAAUUCUUCUCAUCUCUUUCCCAAUAUUUGUUGUGUUUA